CGCUGGCGGCGUGCUUAAUACAUGCAAGUCAACUUGACUAUAGAUAGCAAUAUCGAAAAGUAGGGUGGCGCACGGGUGCGUAACGCGUAGGUAAUCUGCCCUGAGGUCUGACAUAACCCGUCGAAAGGCGGGCUAACAUCAGAUGAUAUAUAAUCACGACAUCGUGGAAAUAUCAAAUCUUCGGAGCCUUGGGAUGAGCCUGCGUCUGAUUAGGUAGUUGGCGGAGUAAUAGCCCACCAAGCCUACGAUCAGUAGCUGGUCUGAGAGGAUGAUCAGCCACACUGGAACUGAGACACGGUCCAGACUCCUACGGGAGGCAGCAGUAAGGAAUAUUGCUCAAUGGGGGAAACCCUGAAGCAGCAACGCCGCGUGAAGGAUGAAAUACUUUUGUAUGUAAACUUCUGUAAGAUGGGAAAAAUAUUCUCCUCGGAAGAAUUGAUUGUACCAUCAGAGUAAGCCCCGGCUAACUACGUG
rnacentral:rRNA from 1 species